rnacentral:rRNA from 1 species
UAGGGAAUCUUCGGCAAUGGACGGAAGUCUGACCGAGCAACGCCGCGUGAGUGAAGAAGGUUUUCGGAUCGUAAAGCUCUGUUGUUAGAGAAGAACGUUGGUAGGAGUGGAAAAUCUACCAAGUGACGGUAACUAACCAGAAAGGGACGGCUAACUACGUGCCAGCAGCCGCGGUAAUACGUAGGUCCCGAGCGUUGUCCGGAUUUAUUGGGCGUAAAGCGAGCGCAGGCGGUUCUUUAAGUCUGAAGUUAAAGGCAGUGGCUUAACCAUUGUACGCUUUGGAAACUGGAGGACUUGAGUUCAGAAGGGUAGAGUGGAAUUCCAUGUGUAGCGGUGAAUUGCGUAGAUAUAUGGAGGACCACCGGUGGCGAAAGCGGCUCUCUGGUCUGUAACUGACGCUGUGGCUCGAAAGCGUGGGGAGCAAACAGG